CUACGUAGGUGGCAAGCGUUAUCCGGAAUUAUUGGGCGUAAAGCGCGCGCAGGCGGUCCUUUAAGUCUGAUGUGAAAGCCCACGGCUCAACCGUGGAGGGUCAUUGGAAACUGGGGGACUUGAGUGCAGAAGAGGAGAGCGGAAUUCCACGUGUAGCGGUGAAAUGCGUAGAGAUGUGGAGGAACACCAGUGGCGAAGGCGGCUCUCUGGUCUGUAACUGACGCCGAGGCGCGAAAGCGUGGGGAGCGAACAGGAUUAGAUACCCUGGUAGUCCACGCCGUAAACGAUGAGUGCUAAGUGUUAGAGGGUUUCCGCCCUUUAGUGCUGCAGCUAACGCAUUAAGCACUCCGCCUGGGGAGUACGGCCGCAAGGCUGAA
rnacentral:rRNA from 1 species